GAGCGAACGGGGAGAUUCAUCGUUCUCCGUCGGGUCCGUAACGGGACGUUGACGCUGUACGUUUACGUGCGGUGCUCGUCCUGCGUUCCAGACUCGCGGAGUGCGUGCACUCCUCCCUCAGUAAAACACCGCGACCCGUUGCGAUCGGGUCGAACGCGCCGUGCGGUCGUCCCGCUCCGUUUUCGGAGAGGAAGCGCGGCGUCUCGGCCCGAAUGCGACGGUAAAGAACGAGGUUUGCGUCCGCCCCUUCGGGCGUCCGCGGUGCGGCGGCGGCUGUCCUCGCUCUGUCUCGGCGCGCAAGCGUCGCGGCAGUCGAGCGAGAGUCGCGUCUGCUGUGCCGGCUCGGACGGGACGCGUCCCGGUCUGCGGUGGUUUGUUUCGGGCACUCACAGGACCCGUCUUGAAACACGGACCAAGGA
rnacentral:rRNA from 1 species